GAUGAAGAACGUAGCGAAAUGCGAUAAGUAAUGUGAAUUGCAGAAUUUAGUGAAUCAUCGAAUCUUUGAACGCACAUUGCGCCCCAUGGUAUUCCGUGGGGCAUGCCUGUUCGAGCGUCAUUUACCCCCUCAAGCUCCGCUUGGUGUUGGGCGUCUGUCCCGCUUCGCGCGCGGACUCGCCCCAAAGGUAUUGGCAGCGGUCGUGCCAGCUUCUCGCGCAGCACAUUGCGCUUCUCGAGGCACCGGUGGGCCCGCGUCCAUCAAGCUCACCCCCCCAGUUUGACCUCGGAUCAGGUAGGGAUACCCGCUGAACUUAAGCAUAUCAAUAAGCGGAGGA
rnacentral:misc_RNA from 1 species